rnacentral:pre_miRNA from 1 species
AUCACUUGGGAGUCUUGUUAAAAUGUAGAUUUUGAUUAAGUAGGGUGGGGCUAAAAUUCUGCAUUUCUAAUAAGUUCCCAGAUAAUGCUGA